UCACUAUUCCCUUGCAAGUGGACUGUCUGACCUUUGUUGUGUAUUUAAGUCUCCUUUCAGAUCAUUCUUGAAGAAUCCCCUUGAAGGAUUUCUCCUGGCAGAGAACAUCUCCUGAAGGCAAAUGUCAUACCAGAGAAUAAAGGAAUGCCAUACAUACAGAGAUGAACAUCUUCUGCUCCUUCCUCUGAAGGAAAUAGUUUCCCCCAUUUUCCACACCCUUGGGUCUUUCUGGAUCACUGAUGAACAAACAGAAGGGCCAAAUCCAAUGUAGUCAGCAGUCCUUCUGGGAAGCAACCCUGCUUCAGCUGGCAUUUGGUAAGGGCUGGAAAGAAGCCCAGUAAUCUGGUCAUUUGGGAGUUUCGGGAGAUUUGCCAUGACAUCUUAAGAUAGUCUGUCCCAGCAUAGUGGAAC
rnacentral:lncRNA from 1 species